GGCGAUGUGGAAUAAUUGUUCACUGCCAGGAAAUGACAGCACUAGACAAUGUUUGUGUGGCAACCCAUGACAGGGGCUCCACUGAGCCAAAAUGUCAUGCUGGUCUGCAAGAACAGGAAGCAGAGCUGUACGCUCUGGCAAUUUUCAUAAAUAGACAGCAAGGCUCCCGAAACUAGUGAAUUCGUGGACUGUAUCCAUGUGUGACAUGCAAGUGGUGCUUCUGUGUUUUCAGCCAUGUCCAUGCUCAGAGGAGACGAAAGGAGGCUGUUAGUGCCGUCUUUCUGACAAAAGACAACAGUCCAGGCUGACUCCUCCCAUGCCACAAAACUGCUAUAAACUCCCAAAUUGGCAAGUGUUGGCUUAUAGAUGGCACCAACCCCAGGAACGAUGAGGUCAGCUCCUGGGAUGGAAAAACAGCUUCUGGGCCAUCAAAAUCCACUUUACCUGAAAUAUUUUUUCUUGUUGUUUGGACCCGGGCUGGUGAGCUAAGUCUUCCUUCUUGCUGCCUCUUGGAGGAGAAGGUAAUAACCGAACACAGUGACAUUGCUUGUUGUCUUCACUCUCAUGUGCAGAGUCGAUAAACACAAAAGAAUCUACUGUGUCGGGAUGAGCUUCUGUGUCAUCGUAGCUCAGCUGGAGAUUUAGAGACCUGCAGUGGGAGUGGGUUGUUCGAUUCAACUUAACAACCAUUCAUUUAUUACCUCCUAAGUGCAGAAAAAGAGAGAUGAGAGACAGGCGACUGGACAGAGAGAUACCAAGACAAGAAAGGGAAGGGGCGGCUCUCCAGAUGCUCUAAAACCAUAAUAAAUAAAAAAUCAUUCUUAAAUCAUCUCAAACCAACAAACGCUGUCAUUGGCACGCACACACACACACUACACCCUCUAGGCACGUAGGGGAGAGAGAGAUAGGCAAAUAUUUGGGGUUUUGAAUGGGCAUGCGUUGAUAGGCUGAUGGAGUGCACACGUGCGCACACACGCACUUUAUAGAAAGGCCCAGAGGAGGGGAGCACAGGGUUCAGAGAGUGGCCAGAAGUCUGAUGUAAGAGCCUGCAUAGCCAAGGGAAAGGGUGGAAGCUGUAGAAGAUAAUGGCUGGAGAGGUAAAUAGGGCUUUUAACACCAGGCUGAGAAGUCCAGACCUCAAUCUGUAAGGAAGGAGAGAGCACAGCAGGUUUUGAACAGAGAAGAGACAGGAUCAGAUCUGUACUUUAGAAAAAUAACCCUGGAGAGAGAUUGGAGGCACAAACAACAACAAUAGCCUCCCUUGACUGAGUAGCUAUCCCUAUAUUGCAAGUAUGGAAACAGACUCAGAAAGGUUAAGUGGUUUCACCUAGGUCACACAGCAGUUAGGUGUCAGAGCCAAG
rnacentral:lncRNA from 1 species